rnacentral:tRNA from 1 species
GGUUGUGGCUCAGUGGUAGAGCGCUUGCCUAGCACGUGUGAGGCCCUGGGUUCGAUCCCUGGCACCA